AUGCACGGUUCAUUUCGGUUCCUGUGCGCCGUCCGCACCCACCUGACGGCCGCUCGCUACGUUCUGUUAUCC
rnacentral:sRNA from 8 species